rnacentral:rRNA from 1 species
AACGAACGCUGGCGGCAUGCCUAACACAUGCAGGUCGAACGAGACCUUCGGGUCUAGUGGCGCACGGGUGCGUAACGCGUGGGAACCUGCCUUUAGGUUCGGAAUAACUCAGAGAAAUUUGAGCUAAUACCGGAUGAUGUCUUCGGACCAAAGAUUUAUCGCCUUUAGAUGGGCCCGCGUUGGAUUAGCUAGUUGGUGGGGUAAAGGCCUACCAAGGCGACGAUCCAUAGCUGGUCUGAGAGGAUGAUCAGCCACACUGGGACUGAGACACGGCCCAGACUCCUACGGGAGGCAGCAGUGGGGAAUAUUGGACAAUGGGCGAAAGCCUGAUCCAGCAAUGCCGCGUGAGUGAUGAAGGCCUUAGGGUUGUAAAGCUCUUUUACCCGAGAUGAUAAUGACAGUAUCGGGAGAAUAAGCUCCGGCUAACUCCGUG